CUCAUUUUUAACAGGAAGACACAUCCAGCAGAACCUGGCUCAGUGAAUGCAGCCAUAUGCCAUGACUGGUAGGAGGUGAGGGGAGCAAGACGUGAUAAAAGGCCUGCUGUGGAAGCACAGUGCACAUGACGUCGGUUCACCUGUCAGCCUGCGGAGUGGUUGGCUCCGUAUGUAGAUCUGCCUGACACUACUACUCUGAUGUGCUUUGACCCUGCAGUUGCUGCCCUGCCUGGAUCUACAUUCCUCCAACCUCAGCACAGAUGGGUUCUCCCAGAGCACUAGACAGGAGGGCAAAACAUCAUUUGGCAAGUGCAAAACUGCUUCACUCAAACAGGACCCAACCUUUAUGAAGUUUACAUGCAAAUUAACACCAUAAUAAUCCGGCAAAUUCAGAGUGAAACUAGAUAAUAGUGCAGUUUUUGUUGUCCUCUUUGGAAUUUGAACUGUGCGUCAUUAAUAAUGCUCCCAUCAGCUGCAAAUAACUGGUGAUGUGUGUUCUCCCACACAGAACGGGGCAACUGUGGAAAACAUUUCUAACCUUUCCUGCGACAGACUUUGCAGCGAGCGUUCUCAGCAGACAUGUCCCACUUUAUGCAAGCAUCCAACAUUCCCAGCAGCACGUGCAUGCGGGAAAAUGUCUGCGCCUCUCGGAUAGCGGUCUUCCACUUCUCCACUGCUGUUGCUA